rnacentral:lncRNA from 1 species
UCCAGGUCUCGCUCGCGGUCCAGGUCUUCAUCUAUGACCAGGAGUCCUCCCCGGGUAUCCAAGAGGAAAUCCAAGUCAAGGUCGCGAUCCAAGAGGCCCCCCAAGUCUCCUGAAGAGGAAGGACAGAUGUCCUCUUAAGAAAAUGAUGCAUCAGGAAGCAACGUGAUGGAGGACUUGGGGGAAAAGGAUCACAUACUCAGUCUAUGGAAGCAACGUCCCUGGAAGAAGAGGCUGCCUAUUGAAAAGGUUGUGUCACACUUUUCUACCUUUUUGCCAGUUUGAAGCUUUGCAUCAGGUGGCAAAAUUCAUUCUAUGUGCCGUUUUGUUGUUAUUCACAUUUUAUUGUAACUUAGGAGGUGAACGACCUAAGAUUACGUUAUUGGGUUUGGAUAUUUGAGGCAAAAAUUUAUUUUUAUUUCUAUAGUGAUGACUGUUUUGGUUUGAAAUGAACAGAUUGGUAACCUAAUUUGUGGCCUCCUGACUUUUAAGGAAACGUGUGCAGCCAUUACACACAGCCUAACGCUGUCAAGACAUGCUUCAACAUUGCCUUCAUUCCUUAAAAACCUACAAAAGGUGGUGUAAAUUAAUAUGGAUAAUUUUAUUUACCUCCAGGUCUAAAAGGUAGUGUGACCCAAAUUUGUAUAAAGAUUUUUCAUGUGAAAGGACUGGGGUUUUAGCAAACACAGGUCUAAUCUCUUUUGUGUUUUUGUGCACCAGGCCCGGCUGCGUAGCAGUUGAGUGAUGCUGGUUAGCUAUUAAGGUGGCCUGUUGCAGUGCAGAGUGCUGAGCUGCUUCCUGUUUUCUUCUGAUUGCUCCUGGGGAAAACACGCCUUGUCCUGAAGAACAAAUGGCUGUCCAGUUUAUUAAAAUGCCUGUCAACUGCACUUCCAGUCACCCAGGCCUUGCAGAUAAAUAAUGGAGCAUGCAGUGAGCACAUCUAGCUGACGAUAAUCACACCUUUUCCCCCGUCUUUUCUGAAAAAUUGUAAAUCUGAUCAUAUCAACAUGUAUGAACUUAAAAUAUGGAGAAUGUUAUGGAAGAAAUAGUUUAUAAGUUUGUUAAGUACUUAUAACAUGGUUUAUCUUUUUGAUUAUUAAUUUUUUACGCUAACCAUUGUUUCUGUAGUUAAAAUUGUUUUCUUGGUGUUAUCUUUUCUCAGAAUAAAAUUAGAAACUUUUGAUGGAAAGUAGGUUGUUUUAUUUUCUGUAUGACUUUUGGAUAUUUGUACUUUUGAGAAAAUUAUUAGCACCAAGUGUUUCUCAAAAUAUAAUUUUUAAAAAAUCCUUAAUAGGCUUUUAGCUAUGUGCUUUAUUGUUUUAUCACAAUGCAGUUUAUUUGUAGUUUCUCUCUUUUUUCCUCACACCUAUGGUUUUUUUACUUCCAAAAUUAUUUUCAAAUAAUCCAUUUUUGGCUUUCAUCAUUAUCCCUACUAGAUGUUAUGUGUUCUUUUGCAAUUGUUUCUGCUUAUACCUUUACUAGCAAAGGGAAAAAUAACAAUUUGGUGUCAAUGAUCUGGUGACAAUAGGAUUACAUUGGAGCCAAUUGAAUAAAUUUAUUCUU